AGCGAACGCUGGCGGCAGGCCUAACACAUGCAAGUCGAACGAACUCUUCGGAGUUAGUGGCGGACGGGUGAGUAACACGUGGGAACGUGCCUUUAGGUUCGGAAUAACUCAGGGAAACUUGUGCUAAUACCGAAUGUGCCCUUCGGGGGAAAGAGUUAUCGCCUUUAGAGCGGCCCGCGUCUGUUUAUCUAGUUGGGGAGGUAACGUCUCACCAAGGCGACGAUCAGUAGCUGGUCUGAGAGGAUGACCAGCCACACUGGGACUGAGACACGGCCCAGACUCCUACGGGAGGCAGCAGUGGGGAAUCUUGCGCAAUGGGCGAAAGCCUGACGCAGCCAUGCCGCGUGAAUGAUGAAGGUCUUAGGAUUGUAAAAUUCUUUCACCGGGGACGAUAAUGACGGUACCCGGAGAAGAAGCCCCGGCUAACUUCGUGCCAGCCGCCGCCGUAAUAC
rnacentral:rRNA from 1 species